GACGAACGCUGGCGGCGUGCUUAACACAUGCAAGUCGAACGGAAAGGCCCUGCUUUUGUGGGGUGCUCGAGUGGCGAACGGGUGAGUAACAAGUGAGUAACCUGCCCUUGACUUUGGGAUAACUUCAGGAAACUGGGGCUAAUACCGGAUAGGAGCUCCUGCUGCAUGGUGGGGGUUGGAAAGUUUCGGCGGUUGGGGAUGGACUCGCGGCUUAUCAGCUUGUUGGUGGGGUAGUGGCUUACCAAGGCUUUGACGGGUAGCCGGCCUGAGAGGGUGACCGGCCACAUUGGGACUGAGAUACGGCCCAGACUCCUACGGGAGGCAGCAGUGGGGAAUAUUGCACAAUGGGCGGAAGCCUGAUGCAGCAACGCCGCGUGCGGGAUGACGGCCUUUGGGUUGUAAACCGCUUUCGCCUGUGACGAAGCGUGAGUGACGGUAAUGGGUAAAGAAGCACCGGCUAACUACGUG
rnacentral:rRNA from 1 species